UAGGAGUUAACCCCUGAAAAUGUAAAAGGCCUGCUGGGCACAAAUCUAAACAAUCUGAGGGACAAUCAGAAUGUGCCACUUGUACGAGAGUGGAUCCAGAAGCAGAAGCAAUCUGAUCUGAACAGCCUUGGUUUGGGACUCCAAGGUGGCCUUCCCGAAGGGUAUAUUAUUCUUAAAAGACAUAAGAAAUAAGGCUGAGCGCUGAAUGUGCACCUUCUGCUAGAUGACCAUUUGGCUUCUUGUUUCAACCGGGCACCACCUAUUCGAGUUCAUCUCUGCAAGUGAAGAGCUACUUGUGCAAACAAAAGUGAAUAAAUCUAUUGUUUGAGGA